rnacentral:RNase_P_RNA from 1 species
GAAAUUGUUCUGUCGCUCUUCGCCUCGGCGGAGGGAGGAAAGUCCGGACAACAUAGAGUGCCAAACCUUGAGAAAUCGAGGGUGUCGUUUGAGGAAUCAGCGGCAUCAGAAAGUGCCACAGAGAACAAUACGCCUAAGUUGAGCAAUCGACCGGUAAGUGUGAAAACGUGAGGUAAGAGCUCACGCGCUGCUCUAAGCAAUUAGAGCUUUGGGUAAACCUUUUGGGUUGUAAGACCAUGUAAACCUAGGUUUGAGGGCUGCUCGCUCGACUAGGAGGGUAGGUCGCAUAGAUAAAUGACAGGAGAUUUGGUGCAGCAAUGUGCCGAGGGACAGAAUCCGGCUUAUAGAUUUCAAGA